CCUACGGGAGGCAGCAGUGAGGAAUAUUGGUCAAUGGGCGUAAGCCUGAACCAGCCAAGUCGCGUGAGGGAUGAAGGUCCUAUGGAUCGUAAACCUCUUUUAUAAGGGAAUAAAGUGUGGGACGUGUCCUAUUUUGUAUGUACCUUAUGAAUAAGGAUCGGCUAACUCCGUGCCAGCAGCCGCGGUAAUACGGAGGAUCCGAGCGUUAUCCGGAUUUAUUGGGUUUAAAGGGUGCGUAGGCGGCUUUUUAAGUCAGUGGUGAAAGUCUGUGGCUCAACCGUAGAAUUGCCGUUGAAACUGGGGGGCUUGAGUAUGUUUGAGGCGGGCGGAAUUCGUGGUGUAGCGGUGAAAUGCUUAGAUAUCACGAAGAACCCCGAUUGCGAAGGCAGCUUAC
rnacentral:rRNA from 1 species